rnacentral:rRNA from 2 species
AGUCGAGCGGACUGAUGGGAGCUUGCUCCCUGAUGUUAGCGGCGGACGGGUGAGUAACACGUGGGCAACCUGCCUGUAAGACUGGGAUAACUCCGGGAAACCGGGGCUAAUACCGGAUAACCCGUUCCACCUCAUGGUGGAGCGGUAAAAGAUGGCCUCUGGCUAUCACUUACAGAUGGGCCCGCGGCGCAUUAGCUAGUUGGUAAGGUAACGGCUUACCAAGGCGACGAUGCGUAGCCGACCUGAGAGGGUGAUCGGCCACACUGGGACUGAGACACGGCCCAGACUCCUACGGGAGGCAGCAGUAGGGAAUCUUCCGCAAUGGACGAAAGUCUGACGGAGCAACGCCGCGUGAGUGAUGAAGGUUUUCGGAUCGUAAAGCUCUGUUGUUAGGGAAGAACAAGUGCCGUUUGAAUAAGGCGGCACCUUGACGGUACCUAACCAGAAAGCCACGGCUAACUACGUGCCAGCAGCCGCGGUAAUACGUAGGUGGCAAGCGUUGUCCGGAAUUAUUGGGCGUAAAGCGCGCGCAGGCGGUCUCUUAAGUCUGAUGUGAAAGCCCACGGCUCAACCGUGGAGGGUCAUUGGAAACUGGGAGACUUGAGUACAGAAGAGGAGAGUGGAAUUCCACGUGUAGCGGUGAAAUGCGUAGAUAUGUGGAGGAACACCAGUGGCGAAGGCGACUCUCUGGUCUGUAACUGACGCUGA